CGUAGGGUGCAAGCGUUAUCCGGAAUUAUUGGGCGUAAAGAGCUCGUAGGCGGUUUGUCGCGUCUGCUGUGAAAACUGGGGGCUCAACCCCCAGCCUGCAGUGGGUACGGGCAGACUAGAGUGCGGUAGGGGAGAUUGGAAUUCCUGGUGUAGCGGUGGAAUGCGCAGAUAUCAGGAGGAACACCGAUGGCGAAGGCAGAUCUCUGGGCCGUAACUGACGCUGAGGAGCGAAAGCAUGGGGAGCGAACAGGAUUAGAUACCCUGGUAGUCCAUGCCGUAAACGUUGGGAACUAGAUGUAGGGACCAUUCCACGGUUUCUGUGUCGCAGCUAACGCAUUAAGUUCCCCGCCUGGGGAGUACGGCCGCAAGGCUA
rnacentral:rRNA from 1 species